GACGAACGCUGGCGGCGUGCUUAACACAUGCAAGUCGAACGGAAAGGCCCCUUUGGGGGUACUCGAGUGGCGAACGGGUGAGUAACACGUGAGUAACCUGCCCUUGACUUCGGGAUAACUUCAGGAAACUGGGGCUAAUACCGGAUAGGAAUCCUUGCUGCAUGGUGGGGGUUGGAAAGCUUCGGCGGUUUUGGAUGGACUCGCGGCUUAUCAGCUUGUUGGUGGGGUAGUGGCUUACCAAGGCUUUGACGGGUAGCCGGCCUGAGAGGGCGACCGGCCACAAUGGAACUGAGACACGGUCCAGACUACUACGGGAGGCAGCAGUAGGGAAUCUGCCGCAAUGGGCGAAAGCCGGACGGAGCAACGACGCGUGAGUGAUGAAGGUCUUCGGAUCGUAAAACUCUGUUAUGAGGGAAGAACAAAUGUGUAAGGAACUAUGCACGUCUUGACGGUACCUAAUCAGAAAGCCACGGCUAACUACGUG
rnacentral:rRNA from 1 species